rnacentral:rRNA from 1 species
UAACAAGGUAGCUGUAGGUGAACCUGCUGCUGGAUCAUUAACGACUAUAAACACUAGUGAAGACUCCUUGUGGUCAACACUUAGUCCGUGUAAGCGUAUUACUGAUGCGCAGAGAUUGAGUUCUCGCACAGACACACUUUAACGGCCUCUGUUGGUUUCUAGGCCUCGCUGAGCAGUUGUUGCCUUUGUCCGUGACUGCGUUGAAGCGGGGUGGUAGCCCAAUACUUACUGGGUAGAAUCAAUGAGCUCCCAGCCUGGGGAGCCGCCAACACCCAUUUUCACUUAUCAAUUUUCAUUGAAAGUAUUCUAGCCUUAUCGGUGGAUCACUCGGUUCGUAGAUCGAUGAAGAACGCAGCCAAAUGCGAUAAUUAGUGUGAACUGCAGAUAUUUUGAGCACUAAAGUUUCGAAUGCACAUUGCGUCGUUGGACUCUGUCCUUCGACAUAUCUGGUUCAGGGUCGCAAACAAAACAGACAACUGACUGUUGUCUUUCGAACGGGGAAUCGCCCUCACCCGGUGGCUCCUCAAUUCGAAAAUGAUUUGUUUAACUGGUGUGAUAAGCUUGCUGUAUGUCCAACGACUUAAUGGAACAGGCUCGCUUCGUUAUCCAGCUAGGCACUUCGCUUACGACCUGAGCUCAGAUAUGAGUACCUGCUGAACUUAAGCAUAUCAGUA